rnacentral:rRNA from 1 species
UACGUAGGGUGCAAACGUUAUCCGGAUUUAUUGGGCGUAAAGAGCUCGUAGGUGGUUUGGAAAGUCGGAUAUGAAAUAUCCCGGCUCAACCGGGAAACUGUAUUCGAAACUUCCUGACUUGAGGUAUGUAGGGGAAGAUGGAACUUGUGGUGUAGCAGUGAAAUGCGUAGAUAUCACAAGGAACGCCAAUGGUGAAGACAGUCUUCUGGACAUUACCUGACACUGAGGAGCGAAAGCGUGGGUAGCGAACGGG